AGUGCCCCUCGCUUCUUGCAAAAGAAGCAUUCAGCUUGACUCUUAUCAGGUUUGAUCUUUCUGGUCUGUUCCUGCAUUGAUGUCCCAGCCUGAACUUGCACCUUCUUCACUUUCUUCUUCUUGUUCUUCUUCCCUUUCUCAAAGGGUCGAGAACCAAAAGAUGAACCUCCCACUAAGUUCACCAACUCCUUGUGGAGUUGGUGAUCCUUCUCAAAGUUCUGAAGCAACCCUAGUAACUCAUGGUAGUUUACUUCAGAC
rnacentral:lncRNA from 1 species